GACGAACGCUGGCGGCGCGCCUAACACAUGCAAGUCGAACGGAGCAAAUUUGGCCGAAGUUUUCGGAUGGAAGCCAAGCUUGCUUAGUGGCGAACGGGUGAGUAACACGUGAGCAAUCUGCCUUUCAGUGGGGGACAACAUUUGGAAACGAAUGCUAAUACCGCAUAAGACCACAGUGUCGCAUGGCACAGGGGUCAAAGGAUUUAUCCGCUGAAAGAUGAGCUCGCGUCCGAUUAGCUAGAUGGUGAGGUAACGGCCCACCAUGGCGACGAUCGGUAGCCGGACUGAGAGGUUGAACGGCCACAUUGGGACUGAGACACGGCCCAGACUCCUACGGGAGGCAGCAGUGGGGAAUAUUGCACAAUGGGGGAAACCCUGAUGCAGCGACGCCGCGUGGAGGAAGAAGGUCUUCGGAUUGUAAACUCCUGUCCCAGGGGACGAUAAUGACGGUACCCUGGGAGGAAGCACCGGCUAACUACGUG
rnacentral:rRNA from 1 species